rnacentral:rRNA from 1 species
UACGUAGGGCGCAAGCGUUGUCCGGAAUUAUUGGGCGUAAAGAGCUCGUAGGCGGCUUGUUGCGUCGGUUGUGAAAGCCCGGGGCUUAACCCCGGGUCUGCAGUAGAUACGGGCAGGCUAGAGUGUGGUAGGGGAGAUCGGAAUUCCUGGUGUAGCGGUGAAAUGCGCAGAUAUCAGGAGGAACACCGGUGGCGAAGGCGGAUCUCUGGGCCAUUACUGACGCUGAGGAGCGAAAGCGUGGGGAGCGAACAGG